UUUUCCUUUUCUGCUUGACUUCCCUUUUCAUGGAAAGCUGCCUGUGUUACUGAAAGAUUACUGUUUGCAUUUAGUACAGAUUUGUUCUGGUUAAUAUUUUAUUAGUUGCUAUUUUUAGCUUUAAUAAAAGACUACUUCUAACUCUUUUCUCUCCGGCCUUUUGUAAAUAGGUUGUGUGCAAAUUGAAGUGGUUGGAAAAUCUAUUGGUCGUGCACAUUUUAAAAACUCUUUGUGAAAUAAAGUGUUGGACUCAGACUUCCAAGUGGCCACCAGUCUGGAGCAAAGUAUAUUGAGAAGUAAAAUGGUUUGUUUCUUCAACUGCUCAUCCCCUUUUGACAUCUGUUCCCUUGGAGGAUGCCAGUGCCCCAGGACCUGGUGCUGGAGAUAACGGCAGCUGGAGCUCACCAGCUUCUUGGACUCACAAAGGAGUGGUCCGUAAAUUCCAAGUUUCAAACCGUCCUUAAAUUCCUAGCUGCAUCAGAAUCACAUAAAUUCUGAACCCUCUUCUAGACCUACUAUGUUCAAAUUUGGGUGGGUCAAACUGCAUCAUUUCAAUAACCACAGGAUACGUCUAAAGGAAAAAAAAAAUGACAGUGACUCUGCUCACAUGGUAAAACCCCUGACUUCCAACCCAUCUUGAGUAUUCUACUUGGACAACCAGUCGCAAUUUUCAAAGGAUCUGACAUAUAUAACUUACCUUCCUGGAAAGAGUUAAAAAUCCCUGUCAUAAUUUAUGGCAAUAGAAUACGCAAAUUCAACAUAAUAUUUUCAGUGCUACUCAGAGAAUUACAUUAAAAGAGCUACAUUUAGGGCCACCUGGGUGGCUCAGUGGGUUGAGUGGGUUUUUUUUUUUUUUAAUCGGUAUUUCCAUCAACAAUGUGUCAGAGCACUUGAUCUGUUGUGUGUUAUUCUUUGACCUCUCAUAUGUUGCAAAUAUUUUUUGACCUUAACAUUUGUUUUACGUUUGUUUGUAGAGGAUUUGGGGAGAUGUUUUACUUUUUAACGUAGUCAGAUUCUUCAGUUAUCUCUUUGUAAUGUCUUUGUUUUGACUCUUAGAAAGAUGAUCCCCACUGAGGACUCAUAUUAAAAUGUACCUAUUUUUGUAGUCAUUUCUGUUCUUUGUUUUAAAGUUUAUUUAUUUUGAGAGAGACAGCCAAGUAGGGGAUGGGCAGAGGGAGAGAGAGAGAAUCCCAAGCAGGCUCUGUGCUGGUAGCACAGAGCCCAAAGCGGGGCUCGAACCCACAAAGCCGUGAGAUCAUGACCUGAGCCGAUACCAAGAAGGGUUGCCUAAUGACUGGGGCCCCAAGGCGCCCUUGUAGUCACUUCUUAUAUUCACUCUCCCCUAGCUGGAAUUUAUCUGAGCACAUAGCAGGAAGUUAAAAUUCAACAUGAGCUUUCCCUUAAAAUGGUAAGCAAUUCUUCUAGCAUAAUUUAUUGUAUAAUUCUUCCUUUGCCACUCACUUUUGGUGCUAAUUUUAUACACACACACUCAUAGUAAGGUCUUUUUUUUUUAAUGUUUAUUUUUUGAGACAGAGAGAGACAGAGACAGGGCAUGAGCAGGGGAGGGGCAGAGAGAGGGAGACACGGGAUGUGAAGCAGGCUCACAGCUGUCAGCACAGAGCCCGAUACAGGACCUGAACUCACAAAUUGAGAGAUCGUGACCCGAGCCGAAGUUGGACGCUCAACUGAUGGAGCCCCCCAGGCACCCCAGUAAGGUCUUAUUCUUGUACAUAUUUAGUUUCAUUGAUCUAUUAUACCGGAACUAUAUUAUUUUAAUUAUUGCAAAUUUUGAUUUAUUUUUUUAAGAUUUUAUUUUAGUUUAUUAAAAUGAUUUUUCAUGUCUAUUUUUGAGAGAGACUUCAGCUCAGAUCAUGAUCUCAUGGUUGAUGACUUUGAACCCCACAUCAGGCUUUGUGCUAUCAGAGCAGAACCUGUUUUGGAUUGUCUGUCCCCCCACCUCUCUCUCAAAAAAUAAAUAAAUAAACUUAAAAAAAAGUUACA
rnacentral:lncRNA from 1 species